CCUGCUCAAUGAUCUAAAUAGCCGCUUAUAGUGCUAAGGUAGCAUAAUAAAUUGCCUUCUAAUUAAAGGAUAGAAUGAAUGGGAAAAUGCCCUAAUGACUUUAUUUACUAUUAAAUUUUAAAUUACAUUAAAAGUAAAAAUUCUUUUAUAAAAUGCAGGACGACAAGACCCCAUCGAACUUUACUUAACAGUUUUACUGGGGCGGUAUAAAACAAAAUCUUCUUUUAUUAAACAAUUUAAGCUAAAAAAAGAAUAAAAACAAGUUACCGUGGGGAUAACAGCGUAAUAAUUUGCCAAAGCUCUAAUAAAACAAAUUGAUUACGACCUCGAUGUUGAAUUAAUGUAACACUUAAUAGAAAUCUAUUAACUAGUAAGUCUGUUCGACUUUUAAUACAUUACAU
rnacentral:rRNA from 1 species